AUUGAACGCUGGCGGCAUGCCUUACACAUGCAAGUCGAACGGUAACAGGUCUUCGGAUGCUGACGAGUGGCGAACGGGUGAGUAAUACAUCGGAACGUGCCCGAUCGUGGGGGAUAACGGAGCGAAAGCUUUGCUAAUACCGCAUACGAUCUACGGGUGAAAGCAGGGGACCGCAAGGCCUUGCGCGGACGGAGCGGCCGAUGGCAGAUUAGGUAGUUGGUGGGAUAAAAGCUUACCAAGCCGACGAUCUGUAGCUGGUCUGAGAGGACGACCAGCCACACUGGGACUGAGACACGGCCCAGACUCCUACGGGAGGCAGCAGUGGGGAAUUUUGGACAAUGGGCGAAAGCCUGAUCCAGCCAUGCCGCGUGCAGGAUGAAGGCCUUCGGGUUGUAAACUGCUUUUGUACGGAACGAAAAGACUCUUUCUAAUAAAGAGGGUCCAUGACGGUACCGUAAGAAUAAGCACCGGCUAACUACGUGCCAGCCGCCGCCGUAA
rnacentral:rRNA from 1 species